GGAGACUAAUGCGGACAAAAUGUGACUGUGACUGUGUUCUGAAAGUGCCAGUAUAGUUGUAAAAAAACAACAAGCAAGUUUUGAAACAACACAGAGAUGUGAUGCAGCCAGGGAAACCAGCUUGCCGUUGCCUAGCAACUGGACCAGAAGCGGCAGCGAGCGAAAGGAUGCAUAGAGGCCUCCCCCCCACCCCCUCUUCUUAACUACUGGC